rnacentral:rRNA from 1 species
AACGCUGGCGGCAUGCUUUACACAUGCAAGUCGAACGGGCUGGGGGCAACUCCAGUCAGUGGCGAACGGGUGAGUAAUGCAUCGGAACGUGUCCCGUAGUGGGGGAUAACCCGGCGAAAGCCGGACUAAUACCGCAUAUGCUCUACGGAGGAAAGCAGGGGACCGCAAGGCCUUGUGCUAUGGGAGCGGCCGAUGUCCGAUUAGCUAGUUGGUGGGGUAAUGGCCUACCAAGGCGACGAUCGGUAGCUGGUCUGAGAGGAUGAUCAGCCACACUGGGACUGAGACACGGCCCAGACUCCUACGGGAGGCAGCAGUGGGGAAUUUUGGACAAUGGGGGCAACCCUGAUCCAGCCAUGCCGCGUGCGGGAAGAAGGCCUUCGGGUUGUAAACCGCUUUUGGUCGGGAAGAAAGGAUCACGCCUAAUAGGGGUGGUACUUGACGGUACCGGCAGAAUAAGCACCGGCUAACUACGUGCCAGCAGCCGCGGUAAUACGUAGGGGGCAAGCGUUGUCCGGAGUUACUGGGCGUAAAGCGCUCGCAGGCGGUGUCCCGCGUCGGCAGUGCCAGCUCUGUGCUUCACACAGGGAGUGCUGACGAAACGGGGACACUUGAGGGCCAGAGAGGGACAUGGAACUCCGGGUGGAGUGGUGAAAUGCGUAGAGAUCCGGAAGAACACCAAAGGCGAAGGCAGUGUCCUGGCUGGCUCCUGACGCUGAGGAGCGAGAGCUAGGGGAGCGAACAGGAUUAGAUACCCUGGUAGUCCUAGCCGUAAACGAUGACCACGAGGCGUGGGAGGUAUCGACCCCUUCCGUGCCGUCGCUAACGCAAUGAGUGGUCCGCCUGGGGAGUACGGUCGCAAGAUUAAAACUCAAAGGAAUUGACGGGGACCCGCACAAGCAGCGGAGCGUGUGGUUUAAUUCGAAGCAACGCGAAGCACCUUACCAGGGCUUGACAUGGCACUGACCUACCUGGAAACAGGUCUCUCUUCGGAGCAGUGUCACAGGUGCUGCAUGGCUGUCGUCAGCUCGUGUCGUGAGAUGUUGGGUUAAGUCCCGCAACGAGCGCAACCCUCGUCGUCGGUUAUCGGUGUCCGAGGAAACUGCCACGACCAACGUGGAGGAAGGUGGGGAUGACGUCAAGUCAGCACGGCCCUUACGUCCUGGGCGACACACACGCUACAAUGGCCGCGACAAUGAGUCGCCAACCCGCAAGGGGGAGCUAAUCUUGCAAACGCGGUCUCAGUUCAGAUUGGAGGCUGCAACUCGCCUCCAUGAAGUCGGAGUUGCUAGUAACCGUGAGUCAGCACAUCACGGUGAAUGCGUUCCCGGGUCUUGUACACACCGCCCGUCACACCACGAAAGUCGGCAACCCCUGAAGCCGCCAGGCUAACC